rnacentral:tRNA from 1 species
GCCUAGAUAGUUCAGUGGCAGAACAUUCCCUUGGUAAGGGAAAGGUCGAGGGUCCGAUUCCCUCUCUAGGCU